CCUUGUUGAUCCUACCAGUAAUCAUACGCUUAUUUAAAAGAUUAUGUCGUGCAUGUCUAAGUAUGAACUAAUUCAGACUGUGAAACUGUAGACGCUCAUUAAAUUAGUCAUAUUUUUUUUAUAGUCCCAUACUACUCAGAUAACCAUGGUAAUUCUAGAGCUAAUACAUGCACCAAGUCUCGACUAUUUUGAAGGGAUGCAUAUUUUAGAUAAAAGGUUGGUGCGGGCUUGCUCACUUAUUUGGUGAAUCAUGAUAACUCGAUGGUUCGCACAACCCUUGUGCUGGUGAUGCUUCAGUCAAAUUUCUAUCCUAUCAACUUUUGAUGGUAGGAUAGAGGCCUACCAUGGUGGUGAUGGGUGACAGAGAAUUAGGUUUGAAUUUCGAAGGGGGAGCUUGAGAAAUGGCUACCACAUCCAAGGAAGGUAACAGGUGUGCAAAUUACCCAAUCCUGACAUGGGGACAUAUUAACAGGAAAUAACAAUACUGGGCUCAUCUAGUAUGGUAAUUGGAAUGAGAACAAUCUAAAUCACUUAACAAGGAUCCAUUGGAGGGAAAUUCUGGUGCUAGUAGCCGUGGUAAUUCCAGCUCCAGUAGUAUAAAUUUAAGUUGUCGUAGUUAAAAAUCUCAUCGUUGUAUCUUGGGUCGUAAAGCUCGGUCCAUCUACUCAGUGUGAACCUUCCUUUCCAUCCUUUUAGUCAGCAACAUGCUCCUAAGCUUAAUUCAUUGGGUCCCUGCUCUGGCACCGUUACUUUGAAAAAAUUAGAGUGCUCAAAGCAAGCUUAUGCUCUAAAUACAUUAGCAUGAAAUAAUGUGAUAGUAGUUUGGUCCUAUUGUGUUGGCCUUUGGGACCGAAGCAAUGAUUAAUAGGGACUGUCAAGGUCAUUCGUAUUUCAUUGUCAGAGGUGAAAUUCUUAGAUUUAUGAAAGAAUGACCACUAUGGAAGCAUUUUCCAAGGAUGUUUUCAUUAAUCAAGAAUGAAAGUUGGGUGCUUGAAUAUGAUCAGAUACCUCCUAGUCUCAAGCAUAAACAAUGUUGACCAGAGAUCAAAGGAUGUUUCUCUAAGGACUCCACCAGUGCAUUUUGAGAAAUCAGAGUGUUUAGGUUCGAGGGGGAGUAUGGUCGCAAGGUUCAAACUUAAAAGUAUUGACAGAAGGGCACCACCAGGAGUGGACCCUGCAACUUAAUUUGACUUAACACGAGGAAACUUACAAAUUCCAUACAUAGUAAGGAUUGAUAGAUUGAGAGCUCUUUCUUGAUUCUAUAGGUGGCGGUGCAUGGCCGUUCUUAGUUGGUGGAGUGAUUUGUCUGGUUAAUUAUGGUAAUGAACAAGACCUCAGCCUGCUAACUAGCUACGUGGAGGUUCCCCUUCGCGGCUAGAUUCUUAGAGGGACUAUGGUCAUUUAGGCCAUGUAAGUUUGAGGAAAUAACAGGUCUAGGAUGCCCUUAGAUUUUCUAGGCCACACACACGCUACACUGAAGUAGCCAACGAGAUUUUAUUCCUGGUUCGAGAGGAUCAGGAAAUCCUCUCAAAUUGCAUCAGGAUGGGGAUAGACCAUUGAAAUUAUUGGCCUUCAACGAGGAAUUCCUAGUACGUGCAUGUCAUUACCUUGUGUUGACUACAUCCCUACCCUAUGUACACACCACCAGUUGCUCCUAUUGAUUGAAUGAUCUAGUGAAGUUUUCAAAUUAUGUCAACGAUGGUGGUUCGCCACCGUCGAUGUUGUGAGAAGUUCAUUAAACCUUAUCAUUUAGAGGAAGGAGAAGUCAUAACAAGGUUACUGUAGGUGAACCUGUGGUAG
rnacentral:rRNA from 1 species